rnacentral:rRNA from 1 species
AGAAUCAACGCUGGCGGCGUGCCUAACACAUGCAAGUCGAACGAGAAAGUGGAGCAAUCCAUGAGUAAAGUGGCGCACGGGUGAGUAACACGUGACUAACCUACCCUUGAGUGGGGGAUAACCUAGGGAAACCUGGGCUAAUACCGCAUAAUACCUUCGGGUCAAAGGAGCAAUUCGCUUAAGGAGGGGGUCGCGGCCGAUUAGUUAGUUGGCGGGGUAAUGGCCACCAAGACUGUGAUCGGUAU